AUUGAACGCUGGCGGCAUGCCUUACACAUGCAAGUCGAACGGCAGCGCGGGGCAACCUGGCGGCGAGUGGCGAACGGGUGAGUAACAUAUCGGAACAUACCCUAGAGUGGGGGAUAACGUAGCGAAAGUUACGCUAAUACCGCAUACGCACUAAGGUGGAAAGUGGGGGAUCUUCGGACCUCAUGCUCAUGGAGUGGCCGAUAUCUGAUUAGCUAGUUGGUGAGGUAAAGGCUCACCAAGGCGACGAUCAGUAGCUGGUUUGAGAGAACGACCAGCCACACUGGAACUGAGACACGGUCCAGACUCCUACGGGAGGCAGCAGUGGGGAAUUUUGGACAAUGGGGGGCAACCCUGAUCCAGCAAUGCCGCGUGAGUGAAGAAGGCC
rnacentral:rRNA from 1 species